UACGUAGGGUGCGAGCGUUGUCCGGAAUUAUUGGGCGUAAAGAGCUCGUAGGCGGUGUGUUGCGUCGGCUGUGAAAUCCCGAGGCUCAACCUCGGGUCUGCAGUCGAUACGAGCAAACUAGAGUGUUGCAGGGGAGACUGGAAUUCCUGGUGUAGCGGUGAAAUGCGCAGAUAUCAGGAAGAACACCCGUGGCGAAGGCGGCUCUCUGGAACGCAACUGACGCUGAGACGCGAAAGCGUGGGGAGCAAACAGG
rnacentral:rRNA from 1 species